UAAUAAUAAUAAUAAUGAUGAUGAUGAUGAUGAUGAUGAUGAUCAUCAUCAUCAUCAUCAUCAUCAUCAUCAUCAUCCACA
rnacentral:pre_miRNA from 1 species